rnacentral:rRNA from 1 species
AUUGAACGCUGGCGGCAGGCCUAACACAUGCAAGUCGAGCGAGCGGCGGACGGGGGAGUAAUGCCUAGGAAUCUGCCUGGUAGUGGGGGAUCACUUCCGGAAACGGUCGCUAAUACCGCAUACCAUCGGAUGUGCCCAGAUGGGAUUAGCUCGUAGGUGGGGUAAAGGCUCACCUAGGCGACGAUCGCUAGCUGGUCUGAGAGGAUGACCAGCCACACUGGAACUGAGACACGGUCCAGACUCCUACGGGAGGCAGCAGUGGGGAAUAUUGCACAAUGGGGGCAAGCCUGAUGCAGCCAUGCCGCGUGUAUGAAGAAGGCCUUCGGGUUGUAAAGUACUUUCAGCGGGGAGGCGUUACCCGCAGAAGAAGCACCGGCUAACUCCGUGCCAGCAGCCGCGGUAAUAC